GCCGUGCGGCGUGCUAUACAUGCAGUCGAGCGGACAGAUGGGAGCUUGCUCCCUGAUGUUAGCGGCGGACGGGUGAGUAACACGUGGGUAACCUGCCUGUAAGACUGGGAUAACUCCGGGAAACCGGGGCUAAUACCGGAUGGUUGUCUGAACCGCAUGGUUCAGACAUAAAAGGUGGCUUCGGCUACCACUUACAGAUGGACCCGCGGCGCAUUAGCUAGUUGGUGAGGUAACGGCUCACCGAGGCGACGAUGCGUAGCCGACCUGAGAGGGUGAUCGGCCACACUGGGACUGAAACACGGCCCAAACUCCUACGGGAGGCAGCAGUAGGGAAUCUUCCGCAAUGGACGAAAGUCUGACGGAGCAACGCCACGUGAGUGAUGAAGGUUUUCGGAUCGUAAAGCUCUGUUGUUAGGGAAGAACAAGUGCCGUUCAAAUAGGGCGGCACCUUGACGGUACCUAACCAGAAAGCCACGGCUAACUACGUGCCAUCAGCCGCGGUAAUACGUAGGUGGCAAGCGUUGUCCGGAAUUAUUGGGCGUAAAGGGCUCGCAGGCGGUUUCUUAAGUCUGAUGUGAAAGCCCCCGGCUCAACCGGGGAGGGUCAUUGGAAACUGGGGAACUUGAGUGCAAAAUAGGAGAGUGGAAUUCCACGUGUAGCGGUGAAAUGCGUAUAGAUGUGGAGGAACACCAGUGGCGAA
rnacentral:rRNA from 1 species